rnacentral:lncRNA from 1 species
AAGAAUAAUUUUGUGUUUACAAAGUUUGCUUCUUAAAUAAGCAGAUAACACACAAUGAAGUUCAAAUGAAUACACUUAAAAUGAUAUACAAUGAAAACUCUAAGUGUUUCUCUCUUCUCUUUUCUUUUCUGCACAAAUAAUUUUUCUUUGUUCUUAUGCUUUGUUGCUUCUCUCUUUGUGUUAUGAUGUUGCGAAGACUCUCUCUCUC